AGUAAAAGUCGUAACAAGGUCUCCGUAGGUGAACCUGCGGAGGGAUCAUUACAAGUGACCCCGGUUUACCACCGGGAUGUUCAUAACCCUUUGUUGUCCGACUCUGUUGCCUCCGGGGCGACCCUGCCUUCGGGCGGGGGCUCCGGGUGGACACUUCAAACUCUUGCGUAACUUUGCAGUCUGAGUAAACUUAAUUAAUAAAUUAAAACUUUUAACAACGGAUCUCUUGGUUCUGGCAUCGAUGAAGAAUGCAGCGAAAUGCGAUAAGUAAUGUGAAUUGCAGAAUUCAGUGAAUCAUCGAAUCUUUGAACGCACAUUGCGCCCCCUGGUAUUCCGGGGGGCAUGCCUGUUCGAGCGUCAUUUCACCACUCAAGCCUCGCUUGGUAUUGGGCAACGCGGUCCGCCGCGUGCCUCAAAUCGACCGGCUGGGUCUUCUGUCCCCUAAGCGUUGUGGAAACUAUUCGCUAAAGGGUGCUCGGGAGGCUACGCCGUAAAACAACCCCAUUUCUAAGGUUGACCUCGGAUCAGGUAGGGAUACCCGCUGAACUUAAGCAUAUCAAUAAGCGGAGGAAAAGAAACCAACAGGGAUUGCCUCAGUAACG
rnacentral:rRNA from 1 species